rnacentral:rRNA from 1 species
UACGUAGGUGGCACGCGUUGUCCGGAUUUACUAGGCGUAAAGAGCGCGCAGGCGGCUGGUCAAGUCCGAUGUGAAAUCUCCCGGCUUAACUGGGAAACUGCAUCGGAAACUGAUCGGCUUGAAGGUGGGAGAGGGUAGUGGAAUUCCCGGUGUAGUGGUGAAAUGCGUAGAUAUCGGGAGGAACACCAGUGGCGAAGGCGACUACCUGGCCCAUUCUUGACGCUGAGGCGCGAAAGCUAGGGGAGCGAACGGG